ensembl:lncRNA
CUUCCCUCCUAUCUAGGUCACACAUGCAAUCUCCUGGCCAGCUUUCUGCACCAGGCUUGACUGGGAACUUUUUCCAUUGUCCCCACUGUCCCCAGAGCUUCCUUCUACAGCACACAUCUGAUCGCACCCUUGAACCCUCUUCUUCUGGUCCUGGAGGCCUCAUGAUCUUCCCCCAGUCUUCCUGUCUUCCUCCCCAGCACUGUCUCUCUCCAUCCUCUCCUCCAGCUCUAAGCUCCAGCGCGCACUGGAUAACCUGAGAAGCUCCCAAAGUUACUGCCUUCUCCAGGCGCCUCUGCAGGAUAUGGCACCCUCCUUACCCUCAGCCCACAACACCCUGCAGACGCUCUUCACUUGUCAGCACCUAGUCAUCCUUCAGGCCCCCCUAACCUCUGCUCCCUCUAGGGAGCCGUCCCACCCCAGGAUGGGAGGAAGUUAAGACCCAAUCCAGGGUCGUCCAGGGCCUUUGGGGACUGGCUGGGGCCAUUGGGACUUGGUGGGGGGCCGCUGGUGACUGGAGGGGACCGUUGGGGGCUGGCUGGGGCCGCUGGGGAUUGGUGGGGGGUCGCUGGGGAUUGGGGGGCAGCUCGGGGGGCCGGCUGGGGCCGUUGGGGGCUGGCGGGGGCCAUUGGAGAUUGGUGGGAGCCGUUGGGGGCUGGCUGGGGCCGUUGGAGCUGCAGACAGCUGCCGGGAGCGCUGAGGGAGGCCAAGCCUGCACCCAGGGUGGGUCGACUGAAACAAAGGGGACCAGAAGGUGGGCGCCCAGGAGCAGGUGCCGUGGGGACACCGGCCCACCAGCGCCCUGGAUCCUGAGGGGCGAGGAAUCCAGCCCGGAGCCCGCAGCCGCGCGAGGCCGAGGCCCGGGCUGAUGAGCGAGAGCCGGGGCGCCCCAGGGUCCCCUCCUGCCUCGGGCCGCCCGCGCGGCAAGGAGUGUGUCUGGGUGCAGGAGGAGGCCGAGCCCGCUGGACUGUCCUCGGGAGAGUCCGGCCCACAGGGGGCUCGGCUCGCCCCCAAGUCCGGGGCCGCGUCUGCUCAGAGGCCGGAGGCGCCCGCCGCCUCGCCGCGGCAGCCGCGGGACAAGCGCGGGCUCCUGGACUGGACACAGUUUCCCGCCUCCCUGUGGCUGUUUCCCGACCUGUUGGAGCACAGGCUCCAGUUUUAGAGGCUGUGGAGGACUGGGGCAGGGCACGGCUCCGACUUCAGGGUCUGACAGCUGUGCUUUCUCCAAACACUCAUCCAGGGAGCUGGGGGCCAGGUGGCCUUUGUCGGUUCUCCUCUUUCCUCCUGAAGUCAGGGCCUGGACCGGCUGCCCUGCUCAACCUCAGGAACCUCCUUUUUACUUUUAUUUUAUGAUUAGUUGCCUUUGGUCUCCUCAUUCCUCCAUGGGGUGCACUGAGGCCCCUGCAUUUGCUCACGCCUUCCUGUAUCCAUACUCUUGGGGAACCCUCCCACCCUGAGCCUGGGCUUGGACUGGUGACUUCUUUUGGCCGAUGGGACAUAGGAAAGGCGAUGCAAAAGGAAACUCGAAAAUUUCUUGCUGCUCCUGGAAACCUGCCUCCAUAUAAGCAAACCCUGGCUAUUCUGACAGACGACAUGGCCCAGCACCCCCAAAGACUGAGCUGAGAUCCCAGCUGAGAGAGAGGCCAUCUGGGAUCCUCCAGCCCAUCUCCCAGCGCACCUGCCACUUGGCCCCAGACAAGAAAAAAAAAAGUGGCAUAGAUAUCCCUGCCCUUGGAUGCCUUUUGACUUGUCUUCUCUCCAAAUCACAGAAUUGCUGCUGGCAGAGGGGACCUUAAUGCCACCUAGACCCACUCCCAUUGCACGGGAAUGCUUUCAGAGGAGUCAAGCCUUGCAGCCUCUUCCUUGACAUUCAAACCAGAGCAGAGCCUGACAGGAAUCACUCACAUCUGGUCCACAUGGCAUCAGCUGAGAUGGCUCCAAUCAAGACUGGACAAUCCACUUUCAAUACAGAUCACCCACAUGGCUGGCAGGUUACUGCUGGCUGCUGGCUGGCUGCUCAGCUGGUCUGGGGCCUGGGCGUGAGGGGCCUUGCUUCCUCUCCGGUGGGCUUCUCCUCAGCUGCUUGGGUUUCCUCACUGGAGGAUGGCUGAGGUCCCAGAGCAAAUGUCCCAAGAGAUCCAGACAAAAGGGGGUGGUGCUUUUAUGCUCUAUCCUUGGAAUCACAUAGCAUACAAUUCCAUUGCACCUUGUUAGUUGAGGGGGUCACAAAGUUCCACCCAGGUUAAAAGGAAGGGGACAUAGAUUGCACCCAUGGGGUAGUGGCACGGUCAUGUUGUAAGAUGAGCAUGUGGGAUGAGAGAGGUUCUUAUAUUCUAAAGUCAGUAUUUACCUCUUUCAUUAACAAAGACCUUGAAACACAUUGUCUUCCACAUGUCCCCUAUGCUCUUUGUAUAUAUUUAGUUGAAUGCUUUUAUUUUGCUUGGUUUUACCCCAUAAAUUAGACAUUUUGAUUUCUAUAAUGUUUGAACCAACGAAUACAUCUCUAAAGAAUAUAGCUUACUUUUGCUUGUUUUUGAACUUUUUACAAAUGGAAUCACAUGUUAGGAAUGAUUUUUGUUCACGCCUCUUUUGCUCAAAGUGUAAGUGUCUAAGACUUAUGCAUGUCACUGCAUGUAGCUGUGCCUUGUUCGUUUUCAUUGUUGCCUGGCUCUCUGUGCUAUAACAGAUGACAGUUUACCAGCUGCGCUGUAGAUGGACUCUGGGCCAUUUCCAGGUUUGUUGAUUAGAAUUCACAUAUCCUAGUGCAAAUGUGCAUGAGUUUCUUUGAUGUGUACCCCCAAGAGGGAUAUUGCAGAUGCUUCUAUUACUACAUAAUACCAAACUGUACCAAUUUCUACUCCCACUGGCUAGUAUGAGAAUUCCUGUUCCAAAGCCCUGUUGCUAUAAUCUGAUUUUGCCAGAUUUUUUUCUUGUUUAUGGUAAGUUUGUAAUGGAAAACACUACCUUUAAUCUUACCUUAAUCUCUGCUGACUGCAUGCUAUCUUCCCAAAGAACCAGUGUUAUCUCCUCCUGAUGCAUAGCUCAUAGCUGCCUGACUUGGUUGUACAGAAGUGUUCUGCUGAGGAUAUGGCAGAGCAGAGAGAGAACAUGCCUGUAUUAGCAAAACUCUGCAUCCUUCCAUUUCUGCUUGCAGGCUGGCUAGAUUUAGCUAGAGUUCCUGUCUCUUAUAGGACUUAGAGCAGUCAAAAAAAAAUUGUCUACAUAAGCCAUCAUUCUGGAUCUUUCCUACCAUUUCCUUAAUGCCACAGAUUUUGUCAAAUUGUGGUCUACCCUCCAAAGUAAUGCAAGCCUCGAAACCUAACCGAAGAUUUUACCACCAUGUAAUGUGAGGCGCCAGCUUUUCAACCUGGGCCCAGCUGAAAUUCAGGGGAUCUAUUACUAUGGAAAAAGGGAAGAUGGACAUCGGUGGACCACUAACAAUCUUGGCCACAGCUUCCUUCUGGCAUCACUUUUUUUGUCCUUGUUAACUUGUUUUCUGGAAAAGUCUUUAUAUUGUCCUAAUUCUUGGAUAGCAGAGCUGGGUUGACUAUUCUUUUUUCUCAUUCUACUGUCUUCUAGCUGUCACUGUUAAUGGGGAACAGUUGGGUGUCCUUCUUUUUCUCCUAGCUCCUUUCAAGAACACUUUUGUAUUUGGCAUUUCCAUGAUUCCUCAACAAUGUAACCAAGAAGUAAGUUAUUAUAAAUUGGUCCUACUUGGUACACAUUGGGAUUCCUGAAUUUGUAGAUUGAUGAGAAUUUCAGAAAAUUCUCAGCCUUUUCUCUUUCAUGCUGACUUUCCCCAUUUUCUCUCUUCUCUCUCUUUGGAACUCCAACUGGAUGUUUGACUUUCUCAUUUUACCCUCUGUAUAUCUUAAUUUCUCUUUCCUCUUGUUUAUUCCUCUGUCUCUAUUCUCCUUGUAAUUUCUUCAUAUAUUUUUCUAGUUCACCAAACUCCUCUCCAAUACUAUCUUAUUGUUUAAUCUUCCCAUUGUAUUUUAAAUUGUGAUAUUUUUCAUUUCUAAAUUGCGAAAAGUAUUAAUAAUUAGACAUUGUGUUUUAAAAAACAAUUUAAUUAACAGAAUUAUAUCUAUGUGAAAUGAUAUACACUAAUAUAAUAAGAAUCCUCUAUAAGGGAUUUUAAAACAAACAUCAAAUCCACCCAUUCAUUCCUUCAGGCUUGAAAGCCUGUGAGGGCCCUGUGCAGUCCUGUGUACGGCCAUAAUGGUCUGGAAGAGUAUCUUCCCAUGAGGAAGGUGGUAACUUUCUCUUGCAAAUCAUAAAUGGAAGACACCCUUGGGUUGGGAUAGGGUAUCGGAUAGAAGGAAAUGCAGAGGUUAGUGGCUAUGGAGGUGGUGGUGGGCUUUCCAGUGGGGACAUGAUGAUGGACACUUCUCGCAACAUUGGGUGCUCUUUACACCAGUGCGAACUGAGGGGGGGCACUCCUUGGACCAUUGUCUUUCAGUGAGGGGACAGCAGGGGACAGAACUGGGUUAGAUGUCUGUGCAGUUAGAGCUUUUACUCUUGUUCCUCAUUUCCAGAAAUAUCUAAAGGAGAAAAGAGGAAAAACUUAGGUGUGUUUUCCAUGGAUUGAGUGGUAGAGGUCUACACCUUUCACACAGCAUGGGCUCCAAGAGACUCCGUGGCUUCUGGUAAAGGCUUCCAGGUCCCCAUGAGGGUAGAACCUCUCUUUGCUCCACUUGAUGAGGCUGGGCUGAGACUCCUCCUUUCAGAGGCAUUUCUUUGCUCUCUUUUGAUUCUCUCCAAUGAUUCUCUCCAUCUGUCUCUCUUUUCUAUAGCCUAAUGCCUGUGAUUCUUGCUUUAGACCUUUUUUGGGUUCCCAUAAUCCUUACUUCUGUUCCUAUAGAAAAUGGUUUACUUGUUAACUUCUUAGUUACCUGGCUUCCCAUUCAAAAUGUAACUACCCUAAGGUUACAAGCUUGGUCUUCAUUCACUGCUGUAUCCCCAGUGCUUAGAAUAAUGUAUGGUCCAGAGUAAGUGCUUUAUAAAUAUUUUCUGACUGUUGAAUUCUUAUUUUACUUGAGAUACUUUGCAAAGGUAGAAUUGGGUAAUUUUUGGAUCAUUCCUAAGUAAAUCCCACUGAAAUGAGCAUGUGCAGAAGUGCAGCAGGUUCUGCUCUACUAAAUGAGUACAAUGUUUGGCAAGGAUGUUCGGAGCAGGCUUUUCAUGGAUGGAAUUCAGUAAUCUCAUCUCUGCCUUGCACAAAAGGUCUGGACUGCUCGGGAAGGGUCAGAAACCCCAUGGCAAUAGUGACAUUUACCAGUGGAUAUCUGUGUUAUCUAGAAUAUGGGUUGAGCUGUUCCAACAGGAUUCCUAAGAGUAGUUUCUUAAAAGGGUACAAUUUAAAAUAUCUUGAGUAUCUAGGCAUAAACUUACUAAAAGAUUAUGAUCUUUAUAAAAGAUUGCAACAUUUUAUUGAGGGAGGGACAUAAACAUGAGAAACUGACAAGAUAUAUAGAUCGUUCAUGGAUUGAAAACUUAAUAUUGUAAAUCAGUCAAUAUUGCUUUAAAUUAUAGAAACAAUGCAAUCCCAACUGGCUUUAUGCUGGAUCUGUACUAGCUGGUUAAAAAAUGUAUAUGACAACUCAGAAGGAUCAAUAAUAGCCAAGACUCUCUUGGAGAAAAGAAGGAAGGCAAGAGGAUUGCCCUUACCUGUUGCCGCAGUAGAUUAUUGAAUUCUAGUAAAGAGGAAGGACAGUGUGGCAUUGGCCCAGGGACAGAGUCAUAGAGUGGGGGAGAAUAGAGGCCAGAAUAAGACCCUGCAUGGAUGGACCCUGGGUUUUUGAGAGGCAACAGUUCUGUGCAGUGAAGAAAGGACAGUGUUUUCAAUAGAAAAUGCUAAGGUUUAUGGCUGUGUUUUCACAGGAUUUUAUAUAUGAUAGUGAAACCAUCUGAUGUUAUCUGGUGAAGUCAGUGGGGAAAUUCCUGUGCAUCACGAUCUCACAAAAAUGUUCAAAGUAGCUCUGUUGAUAACGGCCAGAAUGUGGAAACAACUCAAAUGGCCACUGCAGUACCCUGAUGUCACGGCCGACUCUACAGGAGCAUGGCGACCAAGGAUGAAAAGCACAAAAACAACACUGAAGGAAAGAAGCAAGUCACACAGGAAGAUAUGCUAUGAUCCACUUAUAGGAAGCUCAAAAACAAACAGGAAAACCAAACAAUUCUUGAUUGAAAAGGGCAUAAUUAGGUAAAACGAUCAAGUCACCCAAGGGCUGGCGGGAACAGGAGCUCUGUGACUUCAGGGAGGAAGGCACAAGGAGGGGCACGUGGAGAUGUUCUCAGGUCCUGGCCCCUAUUUCAUAACCCACAUAAUGGUUACACACUCUUAUUCCAGAAUAUACAGAUAUGUCUUUUAUAAUAAUCUGCAUGCAUGAUACAUUUUACAAUUAAAAAUUAUUUUUAAAUUAUAUACUUACAGAAGGACAAUGUGAUAGAUAGAAUGAGCGUUUGCUACAUGCCCAGACUCAGACUAGUUACUGUGCACAAUCUCUGAAUCACAACCCCAUGAUUAUCCCCAUUUGAUGGUGAGGUCACUCAGGCCCGGAAUCAUCAUUUCUUGCCCAGAACCACACACUAGGACUCGGCUCAGCAGAGCUUUCAUCAUUCCAGGCAUGUCCUGAUUCCAAAGCCCACACUCCUAUCUGCCUCACUACGCAGCACAUGAUGUUGAUAGUAAUACAAUGGCCAGGGUCCCCUCACGGAUACUUGGGUAUGUGAGGGCGUCCUUGGUGCUGAAUCAUGGCCCAGACCAGACCCAGUCUCACCCACCCACUCCCCAGGAGACCACAACCCAAGCUGACCUCAGGAAGUGCAGCACAUUCUCUAAACACUGAGUGAGCCUGCGGCUUUGAAGUAGGGGAUGAGAUAACACCCAGGUGAGGUUUAAAGCAGGUGACACAGCUCCCCGUGUAGCGAGCUAUGUGCCCAUGAGCAACGUGCAAGAGUGUGUACCUUGAGUCUCAUUGGGAGCCUCAGGCAUGCCAAAUGGGAUUUACCUGUCUAGCUCUUUCUUAAAUGCUUAAGUCUCUAAGAUUUAUUCUUAACCACUUUCUCUGUUCACUUAGAAAAGUACUUACUGUUGUCUACCAGGUACUGUGUUAGGCUGAAUUCACUGGGGAUACUGAUUUGUCCUUGUAUUUAGGAUGUAUUAGGAAAAUGCGUGCUUGUUGUCCAGAGUCCUGCGGAAGAAGCCCCUGAGGUACUUAAGAAACAGAAGAAACGGAGUACUCUACAAAGUUCUGUAUGGGAUUUUCUCUAAGCUUAGGAGACAAAGCCCCAAGAAGUGCAUCAGGAGUUCAGAGCUGUGAUAGGAACAUGUAAAAUCUUAAGCUAGAGGGUAGAUCUCAGGUUAAGUGUUCUUUCCACAAUAAAGAAAAACAAAACCUUAAGCCUUGUAUUAUUUACAGCAAGCCGUUUCUGAGAUCAGGCAGGACACGGGAACUGAACAAGUUACUAUUUCCAGUAAAACUGCCCCGGUGUGGACAGAGAGGUGCUGGGGAAAAGAAGGGAGGAGGCUCACUCAGGCAAAUUCAGUGCAGCGCCAGGGAGGGAGAGACAGCGGGCUACUCUCUCCCGUUAGCAGUGGCCUCAUGCCAGGGAACAGCCCACAGCAGUGCUGGGGAAGACUCAAGGCUGCUGACACCGAAAGGGGUAAGUCUCCAGUGGCAGCUUGCUGGGUGAACACAGCUAGAGGUGGGGAUUAAUUUAUCACUCAGAUUCAGCAGUGCUUAUGGACCCCACAUCAGGUAGGCACCACAGGGCCCAUGAGAAAACUAGGUUUGGAUGAGCUAGGGUAAGAUGCCUAUUCUGGUUCAUGCUAGCUCAGAACACCAGCUGCAGCCAUGGGGCAGCUACUGGGGACCAGAGUAGGGUGACCUCAGGUCUGGGCCAUUUUGUGGUCCUAGGUUGGGGCAGAAUUUCAGCAGCUGUUGACACGAGGAACAAGAUCUAAUUCUCAGGGAGGGUGUGAAGAAGGUAUGAGGCAAGUUAAACCCCAGGUGAGCAGAGAGUGGAUCUGCAAGAAAUUCCAUCUAGGAUACUCCUGGCUUCCACUAUGGUAAGCAUAAACCAACCCUGCCAGAGGACAUGUCUCUUUAACUCCUAAAGUUAGGAACUUAGAUUCUAGAAAGAAAAAAAAUUGUGAAACUAUUGUGGUAACACAAGGCAGCAGGUGCCAAAACAAGGGGCAAGAGGAACGUAGGUCUCUAGGUUGGAAACACUGGGCGCUAGAACACCGGACUUGGGGACAGGGAGCAGAUUUGAGGUGUGGGAACAAGGUGGGUUGGGCAGUCCUGGAGGGGUCAGCAGUUGCCAGAUGAAGUCAAUCUGACAGGAUAUACGUUCUACAACAUGGGUGGAAAUACCAGUUUUCCUGUUCUGCCUCCUCCACCCUAGAAUUUGCUAACAAAUGAGCUUUACCCCUCAGUCCCUACACUCCAGCCCACAACCUCCAAUGCCACCCAGGCUCCCUCUCCCUGCUCACAGCCAUCCUGACUCCAGGUGUCACCACUUGCGGCACGGGGUAACGCCGUGGGUUGGUCUCCUGCACACUGGAUUCACAGGGGGUGGUAGACUCGCCCAAACUUGCUCCUGCAGAGCCAGUGGCAGACUUAACUGUGAGCUUGAGCUGUGGGGUCCCCUCACUGCCUCAACAGCAGGGGGAAAUGUGGUCACAUAUUUUCUCAGUUCCCCAAGGGGACAAUGCAUGAACCAAUGUAAAUCACUCAGGAUCCUCAAAACCUGGAUCCACCCUGUUUAAUUUCUCCAUUCUCUUAUUCAUCUAAGAAUGUUUUCCAAAAAGCAUUACUGUGCAUUACAUUAAAAAAAGCAUUAGGUUACUGUGCAAUCAGUUAAGGAGGGAGCCAUUAGCAUUUUCAAUAGAACUGAAA